AAUUACUGGCGUAAAGCGUUCGUAGGCGGUUAGUUAAGUUAGAUGUGAAAGCCCCGGGCUUAACCUGGGAACUGCAUUUAAAACUGGCUAACUAGAGUUUAGGAGAGGGAAGUGGAAUUUCAGGUGUAGCAGUGAAAUGCGUAGAGAUCUGAAGGAACACCAGUGGCGAAGGCGACUUCCUGGACUAAAACUGACGCUGAGGAACGAAAGCGUGGGUAGCAAACGGGAUUAGAUACCCCGGUAGUCCACGCCGUAAACGAUGUCAACUAGCCGUUGGGCCUAUAUACAGGUUUAGUGGCGGAGCUAACGUAUUAAGUUGACCGCCUGGGGAGUACGGCCGCAAGGUUAAAACUCAAAUGAAUUGACGGGGGCCCGCACAAGCGGUGGAGCAUGUGGUUUAUUUCGAUGCAACGCGAAGAACCUUACCUACCCUUGACAUCCAGAGAAUCUGUUAGAGAUAGUAGAGUGCCUUAGGGAACUCUGAGACAGGUGCUGCAUGGCUGUCGUCAGCUCGUGUCGUGAGAUGUUGGGUUAAGUCCCGUCACGAGCGCAACCCUUAUCCUUAGUUGCUAGCAGGUUAUGCUGAGAACUCUAAGGAGACUGCCGGUGAUAAACCGGAGGAAGGUGGGGACGACGUCAAGUCAUCAUGGCCCUUAUGGGUAGGGCUACACACGUGCUACAAUGGUCGGUACAGAGGGCCGCAAACUCGCGAGAGUAAGCUAAUCCCAGAAAGCCGAUCUUAGUCCGGAUUGGAGUCUGCGACUCGACUCCAUGAAGUUGGAAUCGCUAGUAAUCGCGAAUCAGAACGUCGCGGUGAAUACGUUCCCGGGCCUUGUACACACCGCCCGUCACACCAUGGGAGUGGGUUGCAAAAGAAGUGGGUAGUCUAACCUUCGGGAGGGCGCUCACCACUUUGUGAUUCAUGACUGGGGUGAAGUCGUAACAAGGUAACC
rnacentral:rRNA from 1 species